UACGAAGGGGGCUAGCGUUGCUCGGAAUCACUGGGCGUAAAGCGCACGUAGGCGGCUUUGUAAGUUAGAGGUGAAAGCCCGGGGCUCAACUCCGGAAUUGCCUUUAAGACUGCAUCGCUAGAAUUGUGGAGAGGUAAGUGGAAUUCCGAGUAUAGAGGUGAAAUUCGUAGAUAUUCGGAAGAACACCAGUGGCGAAGGCGACUUACUGGACACAUAUUGACGCUGAGGUGCGAAAGCGUGGGGAGCAAACAAG
rnacentral:rRNA from 1 species